rnacentral:rRNA from 1 species
UACAGAGGGGGCGAGCGUUGUUCGGAAUUACUGGCGUAAAGGGCGCGAGUAGGCGGCCAACUAAGUCAGACGUGAAAUCCCUCGGCUCAACCGGGGAACUGCGUCUGAUACUGGAUGGCUUGAAUUCGGGAGAGGGAUGCGGAAUUCCGAGGUGUAGCGGUGAAAUGCGUAGAUAUCUGGAGGAACACCGGUGGCGAAGGCGGCAUCCUGGACCGAGG